GCAAAGUCUUGUGAGGGAAGUGAGUUGUUAUCUUUGGUUAUCUAGCUGUAUGAGUGUAUUGGUCUUCAUAAAGCUAGAUAACCGAAAGUAAAAACUCCUUCAAGAUCUUCGAGGAGCGUAUGAAAAUGAAAGACCACUUCAAGAAACAGU